rnacentral:misc_RNA from 1 species
CCCAACUAUCCCUAUUAAUCAUUACAUCGAUCCUAGAAACCAACAAAAUAGAAUCGGAUGUCCUAUUUCAUUAUUCCAUGCUAAUGUAUUCAAGCGUUGGCCUGCUUUAAACACUCUAAUUUUUUCAAGGUAACAGUCCUAAUUCCCCACAACAUCAACCGAAUGACAUCAUGGUUCCUUAGAAGGUGAGAACCAAUGGGAUCAGUACAUACCGAGGGCAUGACCGACCCAUCGAUCCCGAAAUUCAACUACGAGCUUUUUAACUGCAACAACUUUAAUAUACGCUAUUGGAGCUGGAAUUACCGCGGCUGCUGGCACCAGACUUGCCCUCAA